UACGUAGGGGGCAAGCGUUGUCCGGAAUCAUUGGGCGUAAAGCGCGUGUAGGCGGCUGAGUAAGUCUGCUCUGAAAGCCCGGGGCUCAACCCCGGGAGGCGGGUGGAUACUGCUCAGCUCGAGUCCGGAAGAGGAGUGUGGAAUUCCUGGUGUAGCGGUGAAAUGCGCAGAUAUCAGGAGGAACACCAAUGGCGAAGGCAGCACUCUGGGACGGUACUGAGCUGAGAGCGAAACGUGGGGAGCAAACGGGAUAGAUACCCU
rnacentral:rRNA from 1 species